rnacentral:rRNA from 1 species
UACGGGAGGCAGCAGUGGGGAAUAUUGCACAAUGGGCGCAAGCCUGAUGCAGCCAUGCCGCGUGUAUGAAGAAGGCCUUCGGGUUGUAAAGUACUUUCAGUCGUGAGGAAGGUGUUAAGGUUAAUAACCUUAGCAAUUGACGUUAGCGACAGAAGAAGCACCGGCUAACUCCGUGCCAGCAGCCGCGGUAAUACGGAGGGUGCGAGCGUUAAUCGGAAUUACUGGGCGUAAAGGGCACGCAGGCGGUUAAUUAAGUUGGAUGUGAAAUCCCCGGGCUUAACCUGGGAAUGGCAUUCAAGCUGGUUAGCUAGAGUCUUGUAGAGGGGGUAGAAUUCCAUGUGUAGCGGUGAAAUGCGUAGAGAUGUGGAGGAAAUACCGGUAGGCGAAAGGCGGCCCCUGGACAAAGGACUGACGCUCAUGUGCGAAAGCGUGGGGAGCAAACAGGAUUAGAUACC